rnacentral:rRNA from 1 species
CGAGCGGGAGAAUCAUCCUUCGAGAUGAGGAUCCAGCGGCGAACGGGUGAGUAACACGUGGCAACCUGCCCGCAAGACCGGGAUAACUCCGUAAACCGGGGCUAAUACCGGAUAGUCCUCUCCCCGCAUGGGGAAAAGGGGAAAGGCGGCUUCGGCUGUCACUUGCGGAUGGGUCCGCGGCGCAUUAGCUGGUUGGUGAGGUAACGGCUCACCAAGGCGACGAUGCGUAGCCGACCUGAGAGGGUGAUCGGCCACACUGGGACUGAGACACGGCCCAGACUCCUACGGGAGGCAGCAGUAGGGAAUUUUCCGCAAUGGGCGAAAGCCUGACGGAGCAACGCCGCGUGAGUGAGGACGGCCUUCGGGUUGUAAAACUCUGUUCUUGAGGAAGAAUUCCUUCCAGGCGAACAGCCUGGAAGGUGACGUACCAAUGAGAAUGU